CAGAGAAAAAACGCAUGUGUGGUCAGAGUGAGAGCGCUAAAAACUUAUUACUAAAAAGGAAAGAGGUUAAAUGGUGCAGAACGUGUGAUGCUGAUGAGUGGUUCUACUUACCGUUACCUUGGCGAAGUCUGACGAGUGUGUUUAUUUGUGGAAAACUCCGACUGGUUUUUGGUGACCCCUGAUCAUCUGAGAGACGUUUGAUGGCGAGCCAGACCCACCAGAAGAACUCUGAGGCAUCCUGUUAGUAGCCUGGCCAGCUACUACAGGGUCCUUAGCAGGAUCAUCGUGCAACAUAAAGGAUUUCCCAGAUAAGGAGACCUACACACACACACACACACUAAUACCUACCCGGGUAGUGUAACUCUGAAUACAAGACUAAUCACACAAAGAACAUUAUCAACACAAACGAACUGAAACUCACUGAACAAAAAGGGAGUGGAUCCAAGGACAUUAUUUCUCUUUUAGAUAAAUUUAUUUUUAUUUAUUUAUUCAUUUUUUUUUUUCAAAGAAAAGAGCUCUAUUUUAUUUGGGGUAUUUUGAGUCACUGUAAUUGUGAUAUUUUUGUGUUCUUUCUACUGAAAUAAAACUGUCAGUUGUUUACCUCA